rnacentral:rRNA from 1 species
UACGAAGGGGGCGGAGCGUUGUUCGGAUUUACUGGGCGUAAAGGGCGCGCAGGCGGUCAUUUUUGUCGAGUGUGAAAGCCCCGGGCUUAACCUGGGAACUGCGCUCGAAACGGGAUGACGUAGAGAUCGGGAGAGGAGGAGUGGAAUUCCCAGUGUAGAGGUGAAAUUCGUAGAUAUUGGGAAGAAGCACCGGUGGCGAAGGCGGCUCUCUGGACCGAGUACUGACGCUGAGGCGCGAAAGCGUGGGGAGCAAACAGG